UCACAUGCACGUGUUGCGCGGGAAUGGAUAUGUUUACGUGUGCAAAAAAACGUGGAGGGAAAAGAGCGUGAAAUGUUGAGAGAGAAUGGAUGGUUACAAAAAUUUAAUGAAGGGGAAAAAAGCAAGACAAGUGUGGAUAGAACAUGGAAAUAUUGAAAGCAAAGGAGUAAAAUUUAAAAAGAAAUAAGAAUAAUUUAAAAAAUGUAACAAUUACAAUAAUAAAAUAAAAUAAAAUAAAAAUAAACAAAUAAAAUUGAAAUAAUUUAAAAUUUGAAAAAGCAACAUCGAGAGAAAAUUGAAAUGUAAAUGGAAUUUAAAUUAUACAUUAACAGAUUAAUCAUAUAAAUUAUAAUGUAUGUAAAGAAAGACUACAUCUAUACCAUAUUACAACAGCAUGCACACUUAAAAUAAUCGUAUUAAUCUCAAAUAUAUAAAUAGACAAAAAUCUAACUUGGAUUUAGCAAGUUUUUCGCAACAUAUAUAGGUUAAUAUAUAACUCUCGAAAAACUUUAAUUUCAUAACGAAUAUGGCGGAAGGAAAAGAUAAACACGAAUGUAAUAAAAAAUUAAUUAAUGAAGGAAAUAAAGAAGAGGAACAAAAAUCAAAAAUCUUUCUGAAAAAAAGGAUUAUUCGGAGGAUUUCUCAAUUAUCAGAGUGGAAUGUGUGAUGAAUUGAAGGAAUAGUGAGACAAGGCGAAAGUAGAGAGUGACAAGCAACCCAACGGGAUUUUAAGCUCAAGACGUCACGGGAGUUUAGCGAAACGGUUAAAGGAGCGAGUUAACGAGAAGUCCCUUUGUCCCAGAGGAUAACCUUCCUCUCCAUUAAAUGGUCCGCGUGAUAAAGUCCCUUAUGUAUCAACGAAUCCCUCAAGAACAAAUUAGAGGAAUCCUAUUUUCGAUCUAAUUUUCUACUAUACUAAUUGUAAGAGUAUAAUAUCAUAUCUGUAACUGUGAGAAACAAAUUGACAUUCUCGAAAGAAUUUGGAUUAUUUUUUUUUUAACAUCAAAUCUUGUGUCAAUUAUUAAUGGAUCAAUGAAUCAGUUUUUCAAUUUUUCAUCAGUUCUUUGAAAAUAUGCAUCACGAUUGAAUUUCAUCGAAAAUAUAAAACAUGAAAUUAGCAUACAUUCAAAAUAUAUCAUGGAAAUCUUUUCGUGAUCUUAACGGAAAUCAAAAAAAAGAAUAAAAAAAAUUUCAUCCGAAAGUAUUUCGAGUGAAAUCGUGUCGCCUAACCUAACUCGGGCAUAGAGCAGGAAAUAUUUCUGACAACUUCGUUGCGCGGAAAAAGUUAGAAGCUUUCGCCGAACAUGCUAUUUAGUACAGCUGAAGUUAUUUACGGGUUAACCUUGUAUUUACCAAGCGACUAGCAAUUGCAGAAACUCUUAUUUUCCGCGUACCGUACGAAAACUGUCCACUCCAUUGCAGCUAAGCUAGUGUUACGUUGAAUUUGAUAAAUGCACGUGAAUUUGGGUCAUAGGAUGGAGCGAAAUCAUAUGACAAUAUAAAUUGAAUCUAAUCGUUAAUAUUGAAUAAAUUUUUUAGAAUUUAAGAUUCUAAAUAUAAAUGGAUGGAUAAAUUAUGAAAAUUCUUUACAAUUUUUUACU